CUGUAUCCACUGAUAGACCUUGAACAACCUGUUUUUCUUUUGGUUUGCAGUGGGAUGUGAAAGAAAAAUAUCCCUGCACUUUCUGUCUGUCUUUAUGGUGGCCCAGAUUGAAUAAGGGACUACAUCU
rnacentral:snoRNA from 1 species